UUAAGCAUAUCAAUAAGCGGAGGAAAAGAAACCAACAGGGAUUGCCCUAGUAACGGCGAGUGAAGCGGCAACAGCUCAAAUUUGAAAUCUGGCCUCGGCCCGAGUUGUAAUUUGCAGAGGAUGUUUCUGGCGCGGUGCCUUCCGAGUUCCCUGGAACGGGACGCCACAGAGGGUGAGAGCCCCGUAUGGUUGGACACUAAGCCUGUGUGAAACUCCUUCGACGAGUCGAGUAGUUUGGGAAUGCUGCUCAAAAUGGGAGGUAAAUCUCUUCUAAAGCUAAAUACCGGCCAGAGACCGAUAGCGCACAAGUAGAGUGAUCGAAAGAUGAAAAGCACCUUGAAAAGGGGGUUAAACAGUACGUGAAAUUGUUGAAAGAGAAGCGCUUGUGACCAGACUUGCGCCGGGCGGCUCAUCCGGGGUUCUCCCCGGUGCACUCCGCCCGGCUCAGGCCAGCAUCGGUUCUCGUUGGGGGAUAAGAACGGCAGGAACGUGGCCCUCCUUCGGGUGGGUGUUAUAGCCUGCCGUACGAUACCCUGACGGGGACCGAGGUUCGCGCUCCGCAAGGAUGCUGGCGUAAUGGUCAUCAGCGACCCGUCUUGAAACACGGACCAAGGAGUCGUCCAUUAGAGCGAGCGUUUGGGUGUCAAACCCGCACGCGUAAUGAAAGUGAAAUUAGGUGAGAGCUUCGGCGCAUCAUCGACCGAUCCUGAUGUUCUCGGAUGGAUUUGAGUAAGAGUUUUAACGGACGGACCCGAAAGACAGUGAACUAUGCUUGUAUAGGGUGAAGCCAGAGGAAACUCUGGUGGAGGCUCGCAGCGGUUCCGACGUGCAACCCCAUCGUCAAACA
rnacentral:rRNA from 1 species